rnacentral:misc_RNA from 1 species
GAUGAAGAACGUAGCGAAAUGCGAUAAGUAGUGUGAAUUGCAGAAUUCAGUGAAUCAUCGAAUCUUUGAACGCACAUUGCGCCCCUUGGUAUUCCAUGGGGCAUGCCUGUCCGAGCGUCAUUACAACCCUCAAGCUCAGCUUGGUGUUGGGCCCCGCCGCCCCGGCGGGCCCUAAAGUCAGUGGCGGUGCCGUCCGGCUCCGAGCGUAGUAAUUCUUCUCGCUCUGGAGGUCCGGUCGUGUGCUCGCCAGCAACCCCCAAUUUUUUUCAGGUUGACCUCGGAUCAGGUAGGGAUACCCGCUGAACUUAAGCAUAUCAAUAGCGGAGG